UUUUUUUUUUUUUUUUUUUUUUUUUAAAUCUUUUGUCUUUUCAGGGCCGCACCCGCAGCAUAUGGAGGUUCCCAGCCUAGGGGUCUAAUCAGAGCUACAGCUGCUGGCCUACACUAGAGCCACAGCAAUGCCAGAUCCGAGCUGCAUCUGCAACCUACACCACAGCUCAGGCAAUGCCAGAUCCUUAACCCACUGAAAGAGGCCAGGCAUCAAACCUGCAACCUCAUGGUUCCUAGUCAGAUUCCUUUCCGCUGUGCCAUGACGGGAACUCCUGGCUAGUCCUUUUUAUUAAAAUAUAUUCUAAUGUUCUAUUAGUUUCAGGUAUACAGCAAAAUGAUUCAGAUAUUAUAUAUAAGAAUAUAUAUAAUAAGAAUACUUCAGAUACUUUUCCAUUAUAGGUUAUUAUAAGAUAUUGAGUAUAGUUCUCUGUACUAUAGAGUAGGUCCUUAUUGGAUUUUUUUUUAACAAGUUAUUUUAUAUAUAGUGGUGUAUAUCUGUUAAUGCCAAACUCCGAAUUUUCCUCCCUCAUCCCCAAUUUCCCAUGUGGUAAACAUAAAUUUGUUUUCUACAUCUGCGGGUCUAUUUCUAUUUUGUAAAUUAUUUAGUUUGCACUAUAUUUUAGAUUCCCCAAUAUAAGUGAUAUCAUAUGGUAUUUGUCUUUCUCUGACUUCACUUAGUAUGAGAAUCUCUACUUCCAUCCAUGAGUUAAUAUAUCAAAAUAUUUUAAGAUCCAGGAGUUCUUUGUUUAAUAGUUGCUUUGGUUGCUUUCAUAUGACUUACAUUUACAAACACAUGCAACCCCUAAAGCCAUACUUCAAGCUGUAUAUAAUUCUCUCCCUUGCAUAGUUUUAAAAAAAAAGAAGAAAAAAGAAAUCAGUGCAGUGAAUUCAGGUGACCUUCCCAAGUUUAGACAACUAUUAAAUAAAUGAUCUCACAUCAUUCCAAAUUCUUUUUCAUUUUGACCUCAUGGUUUAAUAUCCUUAUUUAAUUAUAUCCUAAUAAACAAUGAUUAAAAUUAUACUCAAAGUGGAAACAGUCCACUUUUUUAUGCAUAUGGUUAAUUGGACUACUUCCUCCAUUCUGCUGGAUAAUGAAGUCUGGACUAUAAAACAGGACUUUGGCAUUCAUGAGAAACAUGUCCCAAGAUGUUUUCAAAUCCCCAAAUUUGUGAUUUCCAAACAGCUCAUAAUUUUCUCUAUAAAUAUAAUAAAACAUUACUGAAAGAAUUUCAGCAGCUUCUCCAGACCUUUAAUGGCUCUAUAAAUAUAGAAAGAAAACCAAUUAAAAAGCUACAGAAAUAAAUCUCAUCAUUUGAAAACUUUUACUUAAUUUUUACCUCCCACUGGAGCAGUUGUUACAUUGUCACUAUUUUUUGUAGCAUGAACAAGAGAUUAUGUUUUCACUAAUGGCAUCACUUAAGUCACUUGCAAAUUUAGUAUUAUAUUCUAUGAUUCCUGAAAUCUCCAAUUUUCUCCUAGUCCUUCUUGCUUAGGUGGCUUAAUUUUAAACAUUACUAACUAGCAUUCAUUUUUGUAACAGACACAUUAUGGCACUAAACUGUAUCUGAAGAAAGAAGAGAAAAAGAAAAGUCUUUUGUUAACUCCCCUCUGAAAGUGACCAUGAUAAUGAUGUAGUAUAGAGAAGAGUACUGUGAGAAGUAAGAAGAAAGAAGAGAAAAAGAAAAGUCUUUUGUUAACUCCCCUCUGAAAGUGACCAUGAUAAUGAUGUAGUAUAGAGAAGAGUACUGUGAGAAGUAACAGGGCAUCUACAUGUAUGUACACAGAGUGUGUCAAACGCACAGGAGUCAAGCACCUCCACCUUGGUCACAUGCUCUAUGCCUCCCUCUGGGAGGAUUUCCUCUGCCAGGGGCACUGAUAACUGCAAGUGAUGCAAGGCUCAGAUGUGGGAUGGAUCCAACCUCACACUGGAUCUCAGUCAGUCACCAGCAUUUCAGGCUGGUUUUCUUCAUCUGGGAGAAGGGGAUCACACUUGUCUUCUGGACGUGUCACAGAUGGAUUACCCAAGUGACAGAAGUGGGGAGCAUCACUUCAAACCAUGAGCCCUCCCAGAGCCAGUCCUCUCUCUUCUCCCUCAAUUAUACAAAACCAGAAGAAAAUCCUCUAUUUUUGGUUACAGGCUGAGCAAACAUACCAUUCUAUGUAUCACUAUUGUUGUUGCUACUAUGAUGAUAUUAAAUUUGUACACGACCUCCCUCCAGAAGUUCAGCCACUGCCUUUCUUACUGCAGACCUUUUCAGCACCACAGUCUUAUGACUGGGAACCAGCAUGUGCAGGCUGGUGCCUAUGAGUCCAAUCUUCCCAAUGCUGAGUCAUUGCAAAAGGAACUAACAUUGUCAGCCCACCCAGAGCCUCGGCCGUAAUGGACAGGGUUCUGUUUAGCAACAGGAACGUAUCUGACACAGCUAUAGAAAUUUUUGACAAAGUAUCAUAUUCAGAUCAAAAUGUCUGUGUUCUGCUAACAUUUGCGAAAAUCACACACAGAACACAUCUAUCCCUCUUUCCCGCCUUUCCUUUUCCUUUUCCCCUUCCUUCCUUCCCUCCCUCCUC
rnacentral:lncRNA from 1 species